GACGGAGGAUGCAAGUGUUAUCCGGAAUCACUGGGCGUAAAGCGUCUGUAGGUGGUUUAAUAAGUCAACUGUUAAAUCUUGGGGCUCAACUUCAAAAUCGCAGUCGAAACUAUUAGACUAGAGUAUAGUAGGGGUAAAGGGAAUUUCCAGUGGAGCGGUGAAAUGCGUAGAGAUUGGAAAGAACACCAAUGGCGAAAGCACUUUACUGGGCUAUCACUGACACUGAGAGACGAAAGCUAGGGGAGCGAAUGGG
rnacentral:rRNA from 1 species